rnacentral:rRNA from 1 species
GAUGAACGCUGGCGGCGUGCCUAAUACAUGCAAGUCGAGCGAACGGACGAGAAGCUUGCUUCUCUGAUGUUAUCGGCGGACGGGUGUUUAACACGUGGAUAACCUACCUAUAAGACUGGUAUAACUUCUGGAAACCGUAGCUAAUCCCGGAUAUUAUUUUUAACCGCAUGGUUCAAAAGUGAAAUACGCUCUUUCUGUCUCUUAUAGAUGGAUCCACGCUGCAUUAGCUAGUUGGUAAGGUAACGGCUUACCAAGGCAACGAUGCAUAGCCGACCUGAGAGGGAGAUAGGCAAAACUGGAACGGAGACACGGUCCAGACACCAACGGGAGGAAGAAGAAGGGAAAAUUGCGAAAUGGGAGAAAGCGUGACGGAGCAAGGCAGAGUGAGAGAAGAAGGAAUUCGGAUCGUAAAACUAUGUAAUUAGGGAAGAACAUAAGUGUAAGUAACAGUGCAAAUAGUGACGGUAACAAAACAGAAAGCAACGGAUAACUACGUG